rnacentral:rRNA from 1 species
GACGAACGCUGGCGGCGUGCUUAACACAUGCAAGUCGAACGGAAAGGCCCUGCUUUUGUGGGGUGCUCGAGUGGCGAACGGGUGAGUAACACGUGAGUAACCUGCCCUUGACUUUGGGAUAACUUCAGGAAACUGGGGCUAAUACCGGAUAGGAGCUCCUGCUGCAUGGGGGGGGUUGGAAAGUUUCGGCGGUUGGGGAUGGACCCGCGGCUUAUCAGCUUGUUGGUGGGGUAGUGGCUUACCAAGGCUUUGACGGGUAGCCGGCCUGAGAGGGUGACCGGCCACAUUGGGACUGAGAUACGGCCCAGACUCCUACGGGAGGCAGCAGUGGGGAAUAUUGCACAAUGGGCGGAAGCCUGAUGCAGCAACGCCGCGUGCGGGAUGACGGCCUUCGGGUUGUAAACCGCUUUCGCCUGUGACGAAGCGUGAGUGACGGUAAUGGGUAAAGAAGCACCGGCUAACUACGUG